rnacentral:rRNA from 1 species
AAAGAUUAAGCCAUGCAUGUCUAAGUAUAAGCAAUCUAUACGGUGAAACUGCGAAUGGCUCAUUAAAUCAGUUAUCGUUUAUUUGAUAGUACCUUACUACUUGGAUAACCGUGGUAAUUCUAGAGCUAAUACAUGCUAAAAACCCCGACUUCGGAAGGGGUGUAUUUAUUAGAUAAAAAACCAAUGCCCUUCGGGGCUCCUUGGUGAUUCAUAAUAACUUAACGAAUCGCAUAGCCUUGUGCUGGCGAUGGUUCAUUCAAAUUUCUGCCCUAUCAACUUUCGAUUGUAUGGUAUUGGCUUACAAUGGUUU